rnacentral:rRNA from 1 species
CCUACGGGAGGCUGCAGUGGGGAAUAUUGCACAAUGGGGGAAACCCUGAUGCAGCGACGCCGCGUGAAGGAAGAAGUACUUCGGUAUGUAAACUUCUAUCAGCAGGGAAGAAAAUGACGGUACCUGACUAAGAAUCCAUGGCCAACUACGUGCCAGCAGCCGCGGUAAUACGUAGGGGGCAAGCGUUAUCCGGAUUUACUGGGUGUAACGGGAGCGUAGGCGGUUUAGCAAGUCAGAAGUGAAAGCCCGGGGCUCAACUCCGGGACUGCUUUUGAAACUGUGGAACUGGAUUGCAGGAGAGGUAAGUGGAAUUCCUGGUGUAGCGGUGAAAUGCGUAGAUAUUAGGAGGAACACCAGUGGCGAAGGCGGCUUACUGGACUGUAAAUGACGCUGAGGCUCGAAAGCGUGGGGAGCAAACAGGAUUAGAUACCCCGGUAGUC